rnacentral:rRNA from 2 species
ACCCUUUAAUGUUUGAUGUUCUAACGUGGACCCGUGAUCCGGGUUGCGGACAGUGUCUGGUGGGUAGUUUGACUGGGGCGGUCUCCUCCUAAAGAGUAACGGAGGAGCACGAAGGUUGGCUAAUCCUGGUCGGACAUCAGGAGGUUAGUGCAAUGGCAUAAGCCAGCUUGACUGCGAGCGUGACGGCGCGAGCAGGUGCGAAAGCAGGUCAUAGUGAUCCGGUGGUUCUGAAUGGAAGGGCCAUCGCUCAACGGAUAAAAGGUACUCCGGGGAUAACAGGCUGAUACCGCCCAAGAGUUCAUAUCGACGGCGGUGUUUGGCACCUCGAUGUCGGCUCAUCACAUCCUGGGGCUGAAGUAGGUCCCAAGGGUAUGGCUGUUCGCCAUUUAAAGUGGUACGCGAGCUGGGUUUAGAACGUCGUGAGACAGUUCGGUCCCUAUCUGCCGUGGGCGCUGGAGAACUGAGGGGGGCUGCUCCUAGUACGAGAGGACCGGAGUGGACGCAUCACUGGUGUUCGGGUUGUCAUGCCAAUGGCACUGCCCGGUAGCUAAAUGCGGAAGAGAUAAGUGCUGAAAGCAUCUAAGCACGAAACUUGCCCCGAGAUGAGUUCUCCCUGAGACUUAGAGUCUCCUGAAGGAACGUUGAAGACGACGACGUUGAUAGGCCGGGUGUGUAAGCGCAGCGAUGCGUUGAGCUAACCGGUACUAAUGAACCGUGAGGCUUAACCUUACAA